AAAAAAGAAGAUGGUAUGAUUGCCAAUGAGACAGUUCACCACAAGAGACCAAAAUGACACGGAAAUUAACGACUAUAGGUCAUCGCACGGCCUUCAACAAUGAGCAAAGCCCAUAUUGCAUAGUCAGCUAUAAAAGGCCCCAAAAUGACCAUGUAAAACAAUUCAAACGAGAAAACUAACGGCCUUAUUUAUAUAAAAAAAAAUGAACGAAAAACUUAAAUGUAACACAUAA
rnacentral:lncRNA from 1 species